GUUCUACUCCCUCCGUUUCAUAAUUCUUGUCGAAAUCUUACAUGUAUCUAGACACCUUUUAGUAAUAGAUACAUCCAAUUUUAGGCAAAUUUGAGACAAGUUUUAUGGAACGGAGGGAGUAUAAG
rnacentral:pre_miRNA from 1 species